rnacentral:rRNA from 1 species
AGAACGAACGCUGGCGGCAUGCCUAACACAUGCAAGCCGAACGAGACCUUCGGGUCUAGUGGCGCACGGGUGCGUAACGCGUGGGAAUCUACCCUUGGGUUCGGAAUAACAGUUGGAAACGACUGCUAAUACCGGAUGAUGACGUAAGUCCAAAGAUUUAUCGCCCAGGGAUGAGCCCGCGUAGGAUUAGCUAGUUGGUGAGGUAAAGGCUCACCAAGGCGACGAUCCUUAGCUGGUCUGAGAGGAUGAUCAGCCACACUGGGACUGAGACACGGCCCAGACUCCUACGGGAGGCAGCAGUGGGGAAUAGUUGGACAAGUGGGCGAAAGCCUGAUCCAGCAAUGCCGCGUGAGUGAUGAAGGCCUUAGGUUGUAAAGCUCGUUUACCCGGGAAGUAUAAGUGACUGUACCGGAGAAUAGCUCCGGCUAACGUCCGUGCCAGCAGCCGAC